GAACUUGUUACGAUGUUCUUUAGAAUUGAAGAUAAAGCAUCGUGAGCCGAAUACGUGGAAGAAUUUGACGUUUGGCUUUCUGUUGUUGAUGAUCUCAUAAGGAGUAAGAGUGAAACGCUUAUUGAGAUAGGACCUGUUCUGCGUAAAACAUGCUGCAGCAAUAGCAUCAGCCCAGAAAUAUAGAGGUAGAGAAGCGAAACUUAGCAUGGUUCGGGCCGCCUCACACAAAGAUCGGUUUCGUCUUUCGACAAUNUCUCAUAAGGAGUGAGAGUAAAGUGCUUGUUGAGAUAGAACAUGUUCUGCGUAAAACAUGCUGCAGCAAUAGCAUCAGCCCAAAAAUAUAAAGGUAAAGAAGCGAAACUUAGCAUAGUUCGUGCCGCCUCACACAAAAAUCGGUUUCGUCUUUCGACAAUCCCGUUUUGUUGAGGGGUGUAAGGAGCUGAGAAGUUGUGACUGGUCCCUUUUUCUGCUAAAAAGUUUUCAAAUUCUUUAUUCUUGAACUCCAGCCCAUUGUCGCUUCUGAUGUUGCGAACGACUUUCCUCAGCUGCACUUCAACCUGCUUGAUGAACAUUUUUAGCUUGAGAGUUGCUUCAGAUUUGUGCUUCA
rnacentral:lncRNA from 1 species